CUUGUGGUUCUUAACUAACAUUUUGAUUUUGUCUACUAACAACCCACUCAUGGCCUUUACCUUGAUGUGGUGAGUGGGCUUCAAACCAAGACAGACUAUUCAUUUAUCAUUUAUUUAAAAUGCUCAGAUAACCACCUGUGUGUGUGUGCCCUUUCCCUCUCCCUUCUGCUGGUCUACUUACUGUAUGGUGUGACUGUCGCAGCUGCAACAUAACUAUUCAACACGAGUAGUAAUUGGACAUUCGGUGUGAAUUGAACUAUGAAUAUUGCUCCAGUGUUAAUGUUAUUGUGUGCCACUGGGUGUGCUGCGUUUUGAUAUAGUUUGUUAUAUGCAGGUGACCUUACUCGGAUGCAGCAUGUCAGCCCUACACACCUGGUUGCCUUUAUUUGGUUGAUAUCUUAUCUGCAAUAAGAAUGGAGGAAACAGAGACAAUGCACAUGGCCUCGUGAUCAAGUUCAACGAAUGUGUGAAUGCCACAGACAAGUGAGCCUUCAACCCUCUCCACAAGGCAGCUCAGAAGGCUGAUGAUAUGUGCCCUGUUUAUGGACACUAUGCCCCCAGAUGCAGAGAAGAGGGAUCACCAGCUCAGCUCAUCAAACUGUCCAAUUUUUACAGGGGACAACAGACUUGAUCGAGGUCUUCACGGUCCAAAAAGCCUGGUAAAUGACCUGAUAAAUCCUACCCCCGCAAACCUAUGUGAACUUUUACGUUUGCGGCAUAUUUCAGAGAUAAAAUAACCAACAUUAGGUGGGUUAACAGUCAAGCAA
rnacentral:lncRNA from 1 species